UCCCUGGUGGCUCAGAUGGUAAAGCAUCUGCCUGCAAUGCAGGAGACCUGGGUUUGAUCCCUGGGUCGGGAA
rnacentral:tRNA from 1 species